GUUCAGGUUUCUGGUGCUGUUUGGAAUUCUAGAAGCCUUGAUAUCUGUUGUGGUGAUUGUGGGAGUUUUGAGGAAAGCUGCUCACUACUUCUUCACGGCAGCAACGUGUCUUCUGGUUCUCGCCAUUUUUACAUGGGUUGAAGCAAUUGUCAGAUAUUUCGUUGUGAAUGAGAAUAAAUACGAUUUAGCCAUUUACUCAAUUGUUAUAUUGAUCACAAUAUACUUUUCGCUCGUGCUAUGGUCCUAUGGUGCUGAACUCCGAGACAAAGAAGAGUUGGAAAAACGGAAUGCAAAAGUUUAAGAUGUACUGAAGCCUAAUGUUUGUGGGUGCACUGUAAACCUUUGUCUAUAUUUAAAUGUAU